rnacentral:rRNA from 1 species
CAGCAGCCGCGGUAAUACAGAGGGUGCGAGCGUUAAUCGGAUUUACUGGGCGUAAAGCGUGCGUAGGCGGCUUCUUAAGUCGGAUGUGAAAUCCCUGAGCUUAACUUAGGAAUUGCAUUCGAUACUGGGAAGCUUGAGUAUGGGAGAGGAUGGUAGAAUUCCAGGUGUAGCGGUGAAAUGCGUAGAGAUCUGGAGGAAUACCGAUGGCGAAGGCAGCCAUCUGGCCUAAUACUGACGCUGAGGUACGAAAGCAUGGGGAGCAAACAGGAUUAGAUACCCCUGUAGUCCCUGUCUCUUAUAC